UACGAAGGGGGCUAGCGUUGUUCGGAAUCACUGGGCGUAAAGCGCGCGCAGGCGGUGUGCCAAGUCAGGGGUGAAAUCCCGGGGCUCAACCUCGGAAUUGCCUUUGAAACUGGCACGCUAGAGUUCGGUAGAGGGUGGUGGAAUUCCUAGUGUAGAGGUGAAAUUCGUAGAUAUUAGGAGGAACACCGAUGGCGAAGGCAGCCACCUGGGCCGAUACUGACGCUGAGGCGCGAAAGCGUGGGGAGCAAACAGG
rnacentral:rRNA from 1 species